CACGUAGUUAGCCGGGGCUUCUUAGUCAGGUACCGUCAUUGUCUUUCCUGCUGAUAGAGCUUUACAUACCGAGAUACUUCUUCACUCACGCGGCGUCGCUGCAUCAGGGUUUCCCCCAUUGUGCAAUAUUCCCCACUGCUGCCUCCCGUAGGAGUCUGGGCCGUGUCUCAGUCCCAAUGUGGCCGUUCACCCUCUCAGGCCGGCUACUGAUCGUCGCUUUGGUGGGCCGUUACCCCGCCAACUGGCUAAUCAGACGCGGAUCCAUCGUAUACCACCGGAGUUUUUCACACCGCUCCAUGCGGAGCUGUGCGCUCAUGCGGUAUUAGCACCUAUUUCUAAGUGUUACUCCCCGGUAUACGGCAGGUUAUCCACGCGUUACUCACCCGUCCGCCACUAACUCAUAAAUCACUAGUUCAGUAUGAGUCCGUUCGACUUGCAUGUGUAGGCACGCCGCAGCUUCAUCCUGAGCCAGGAUCAACUCU
rnacentral:rRNA from 1 species